CGUACACUCCUGCGGGAGGCAGCAGUGGGGAAUAUUGCACAAUGGGCGCAAGCCUGAUGCAGCCAUGCCGCGUGUAUGAAGAAGGCCUUCGGGUUGUAAAGUACUUUCAGCGGGGAGGAAGGCGAUAAGGUUAAUAACCUUGUCGAUUGACGUUACCCGCAGAAGAAGCACCGGCUAACUCCGUGCCAGCAGCCGCGGUAAUACGGAGGGUGCAAGCGUUAAUCGGAAUUACUGGGCGUAAAGCGCACGCAGGCGGUCUGUCAAGUCGGAUGUGAAAUCCCCGGGCUCAACCUGGGAACUGCAUUCGAAACUGGCAGGCUAGAGUCUUGUAGAGGGGGGUAGAAUUCCAGGUGUAGCGGUGAAAUGCGUAGAGAUCUGGAGGAAUACCGGUGGCGAAGGCGGCCCCCUGGACAAAGACUGACGCUCAGGUGCGAAAGCGUGGGGAGCAAACAGGAUUAGAAACCCCGGUAGUCCCAUGA
rnacentral:rRNA from 1 species